rfam:Schistosoma rodhaini strain Burundi genome assembly, scaffold: SROB_scaffold0005461
GUUCAGCUGACGAGUCUCAAAUAAGACGAAACUCGCGUCCUGGAU